rnacentral:snRNA from 1 species
AUACUUACUUGGCAGGGGAGGUACCAUGAUCACGAAGGUGCUUUUCCCAGUCAAGGUUUAUCCACUGCCCUCCGGAUGUGCUGACCCCGCGAUUUCCCCACAUGUGGGAAACUGUACUGCGUAAUUGGUGGUAGUGGGGGACUGUGCUCACGCGCACCCCUG